GAAUUCACCAACUACACCUGAUUUCACCAUCUCUAUGUUUUGCUCCAUAUCAGCCAGUCCUUUACCAUAUUCAAAGGAGUUGCAGUUUUGAGUACUUCGAGAGUUUUGAUGCAGUUUUUUGGAAUCAUCCUAAUUUAAAAUGCAAAAUACUUCAGCCAAGAUAAAAUAUACCAACUAGCAGAAUAAAUAAAAUUGCAAGUGCACAUAGUUCCAUAGACAACUCAAACAAACGAUAAAAUAAUUAAAAGAGAAGUUGGACUGAACGAAACACAUCAACAGAAAAGUAGAUACGUUCAAUCAGUCAUCAGCCGCCAACACAUAAUGGAAAUGAAAUGUCUAAAAAACUAAGCAACCCAAAUAUACUCCAUAUCAUUUGGCAUAUUGAUUCUUGUUAAGAAAUAAUAUAUUCAGCAUAUUGAAAUACAUUUUGUAUUGAUUUCUAAAUUUGCUUCGUACUCAUCUAAAAGCACUGAACUUUACAAAGAUACCAUGGUUAAAGAAACUGUAAAAUUUCACUAAGGACGAAUGGAUUUCAAUGUUAGAUGCCCUGCAGCAUUCUUCUAGAAGACUGCUCGAAACCAUAUUUUCCCAACUCAGAAUUUCAAUCUUUUGUUGGAGAAACAUAAUAAAACAUAGUUUCAAGCUUCUAAAGGCAUUUACUUCUAUAUAUGACACAAAAAAUCCUAUGGCGCCAAGCUAUCCUGUAAAAGUAUCAGUGCCCAAGAUGCUCCUGCUGCCCAUGAUCUGCUGUUAGCUAAAAAAAUUUUCUCAGCCAAGUGUUCCAAAAUGGUGAGAUUUGGCAAUUAGUAAAAGAAAUUCGUCCAUCAAAGCAUUCAACAAUCAUACACUAUUAAGGUAUAAAAUUCAUCACUCAGAAAAUAUUUACUGUAGAAAUGUAAUAAUGUAUGCAACGCGACGGGGAAGAAAGUAUGCAUGAAGAAACCUGGCUUGAGGGAGCUCUUUCAAGGGCGGAUCCAAACCACCCAUUUGCACAA
rnacentral:misc_RNA from 1 species